rnacentral:tRNA from 1 species
UAGAAGGACAGGAAUCGAACCUGCACCAAAAGACUCAAAAUCCUUUGCACUUCAUUAUACAACCUCCUA